CGCCGGCGACCGGCGCACGGGUGAGUAACGCGUAUGCAACUUACCUAUCAGAGGGGGAUAACCCGGCGAAAGUCGGACUAAUACCGCAUGAAGCAGGGGCCCCGCAUGGGGAUAUUUGCUAAAGAUUCAUCGCUGAUAGAUAGGCAUGCGUUCCAUUAGGCAGUUGGCGGGGUAACGGCCCACCAAACCGACGAUGGAUAGGGGUUCUGAGAGGAAGGUCCCCCACAUUGGUACUGAGACACGGACCAAACUCCUACGGGAGGCAGCAGUGAGGAAUAUUGGUCAAUGGCCGAGAGGCUGAACCAGCCAAGUCGCGUGAGGGAUGAAGGUUCUAUGGAUCGUAAACCUCUUUUAUAAGGGAAUAAAGUGCGGGACGUGUCCCGUUUUGUAUGUACCUUAUGAAUAAGGAUCGGCUAACUCCGUGCCAGCAGCCGCGGUAAUACGGAGGAUCCGAGCGUUAUCCGGAUUUAUUGGGUUUAAAGGGUGCGUAGGCGGCCUUUUAAGUCAGCGGUGAAAGUCUGUGGCUCAACCAUAGAAUUGCCGUUGAAACUGGGAGGCUUGAGUAUGUUUGAGGCAGGCGGAAUGCGUGGUGUAGCGGUGAAAUGCAUAGAUAUCACGCAGAACCCCGAUUGCGAAGGCAGCCUGCCAAGCCAUGACUGACGCUGAUGCACGAAAGCGUGGGGAUCAAACAGGAUUAGAUACCCUGGUAGUCCACGCAGUAAACGAUGAUCACUAGCUGUUUGCGAUACA
rnacentral:rRNA from 1 species